UCCAAAGUCUUUAUAAGCAAAAUCAAGCUCUUAUAGCAAUGUUCUCCUCAGAAAAAUGGUGUUCAAGCACAUGGGCUAAAAAGGUAGAAGGUGUGAAAACUCGAAGUACAGUGUUGUUUGAUCCAAAUUUUUGGCCUCAUGUUGCUUUUUGCAUAAAGACCAUUGUUCCAUUAGUUAGUGUCUUGAGAGAGGUUGAUUAAGAGGAAAGACCAGCCAUGGGUUAUAUUUAUGAGUUGAUGGAUUCAGCUAAGGAGAAGAUUGCAUUUAAUUGUGGAGGCAUGGAGAGAAAAUAUGGCCCAAUUUGGAGAAAAAUUGAUGCAAGAUGGACUUCGCAACUUCAUCGACCUUUACAUGCAGCAGGCUAUUAUCUUAAUCCUCAAUUGCGGUAUGGAGAUAAGUUCUCUAAUGUUGAUGAGGUGAGGAAGGGAUUAUUUGAAUGCAUGGAUAGGAUGUUGGAUUAUCAAGAACGUUUAAAAUCUGACAUUCAGUUGGACUCAUAUGACCAAGCAAUGGGUGAAUUUGGGAGUCGUAUUGCAAUUGAUUCUUGAACAUUAAGAAGUCCUACAAGUUGGUGGAAACGUUUUGGGGGUUCAACACCGGAGUUGCAAAAGUUUGCUAUUCGAGUCCUUAGCCUUACUUGUAGUGCUUCGGGAUGUGAAAGAAAUUGGAGCACAUUUGAAUCGAUCCAUACAAAAAAAAGAAAUAGACUUGAACAUCAAAGGUUGAAUGCUCUAGUGUAUGUAAGGUACAACACUAGAUUGAGAGAGCGAAGUCUACAAAGGAAACAAAAUGUUGAUCCAAUCUUGGUAGAGGAGAUUGAUUCCGAUGAUGAAUGGAUUGCGGAGAAAGAAGAUCCCCUCCUCCCCCUUGAUCUUUGUUGGCUUCAAGAUAAUGAAUUAUUCAAUGUUGAUGCCAUUAGAGUUGUGUCAUCCAACUCCCAAGAGACGCAAGCAUCAUCGGAUCAUAUGGUUUCUUCACAUUCCUACAAAAGGAAACAUAAUGAAGUACCAAGUACAAGUGGAGGCAAAGGCAAAUAGAAGGAAUUGAAUUUGACACCAAUUGAUGAAGAUGAAGAUUUAAAUGAAAUGGGGAUACAUGAUAGUGGACAUUUUCCUACUAUUGAUACAUUGGAUGAGGAUGAUGAUGACCUUGGAGAGGAGGAUUUAAGUUGAAACAAUUUACUCUAGUUGUUAUUUCAUGACUUAGUUAUGGAUUUUUUGUAAAAGUUUAGAACUAUUAUUAUGGUUGACUCUAUUUUCUAUUUCAUGACUUAGUUAUGGCUUUUUGUUAAA